CCUGACUGUGGUCUCUGUGGUUGCCACAGCGAUGAUUCUCUCCUGGUCCCCCAUGGUGUGACGUCACUGGGCCAGCCGAGGCCAUGGGCUGUGACACUUUCAUGUCCUUCUUGGAACCCCCCGCCCCACACAUCCUCCUUCCUCAAGCGGCAGGCUGUGGGAUUCCUCCCUGUGCAGAUCUUAAAGAAGGUAUGGGUUCCCAGGGAGGGUCCUAUUGUCCUCAGUGCGUAGAAGCCCCACACUGUGCGUGUAAAGAGCUACGUUCUAUAUAGAAGAGGACCACAGCAGUGUGAUUUUAAUGAAAGAGGAAGGAAAUAAAAACCUUUAAAAC
rnacentral:lncRNA from 1 species